GAUGAACGCUGGCGGCGUGCCUAAUACAUGCAAGUCGAGCGAACAGAUGAGGAGCUUGCUCCUCUGACGUUAGCGGCGGACGGGUGAGUAACACGUGGAUAACCUACCUAUAAGACUGGGAUAACUUCGGGAAACCGGAGCUAAUACCGGAUAAUAUAUUGAACCGCAUGGUUCAAUAGUGAAAGACGGUUUUGCUGUCACUUAUAGAUGGAUCCGCGCCGCAUUAGCUAGUUGGUAAGGUAACGGCUUACCAAGGCAACGAUGCGUAGCCGACCUGAGAGGGUGAUCGGCCACGCGGGAACUGAGACACGGUCGAGACUCCAACGGGGGGCAGAAGUAGGGAAUCUGCCGCAAUGGGGGAAAGUUUGACGGAGCAACGCCGCGUGAGGGAUGAAGGUCUUCGGAUCGAAAAACUCUUUUAUUAGGGAAGAACAAAUGUGUAAGUAACUAUGCACGUCGUGGCGGUCCCUAAUCAGAAAGCCACGUAUAACUACG
rnacentral:rRNA from 1 species